UGAUCCUGGCUCAGAUUGAACGCUGGCGGCAGGCCUAACACAUGCAAGUCGAACGGUAACAGAACUAGCUUGCUAGUUGCUGACGAGUGGCGGACGGGUGAGUAAUACUUAGGGAUCUGCCUCUGUGUAGGGGAUAACUAUUGGAAACGAUAGCUAAUACCGCAUAAUGUCUACGGACCAAAGAGGGCUUCGGCUCUCGCGCAGAGAGGAACCUAAGCGAGAUUAGCUAGUUGGUGAGGUAAAGGCUCACCAAGGCGACGAUCUCUAGCUGUUCUGAGAGGAAGAUCAGCCACACUGGAACUGAGACACGGUCCAGACUCCUACGGGAGGCAGCAGUGGGGAAUAUUGCACAAUGGGGGAAACCCUGAUGCAGCCAUGCCGCGUGUGUGAAGAAGGCCUUCGGGUUGUAAAGCACUUUCAGUUGUGAGGAAAGGUUAGUAGUUAAUACCUGCUAGCUGUGACGUUAACAACAGAAGAAGCACCGGCUAACUCCGUGCCAGCAGCCGCGGUAAUACGGAGGGUGCGAGCGUUAAUCGGAAUUACUGGGCGUAAAGCGCACGCAGGCGGUCUGUUAAGCUAGAUGUGAAAGCCCCGCGCUCAACGUGGGAGGGUCAUUUAGAACUGGCAGACUAGAGUCUUGGAGAGGGGAGUGGAAUUCCAGGUGUAGCGGUGAAAUGCGUAGAGAUCUGGAGGAACAUCAAUGGCGAAGGCAACUCCCUGGCCAAAGACUGACGCUCAUGUGCGAAAGUGUGGGUAGCGAACAGGAUUAGAUACCCUGGUAGU
rnacentral:rRNA from 1 species